rnacentral:rRNA from 1 species
GAUGAACGCUAGCUACAGGCUUAACACAUGCAAGUCGAGGGACCCGCGCACGGGUGAGUAACAUGUAUCCAACCUGCCUUUUACUCGAGGAUUGCCUUUCGAAAGAAAGAUUACUACCCGAUAUUAUGGUUGGGGAUGCGUUUCAUUAGUUUGUUGGUGAGGUAACGGCCCACCAAGCCUUCGCUGGAUAGUGGUUCUGAGGGUAAGGUCCCCCACAUUGGAACGGAGACACGGUCCAAACUCCUACGUGAGGCAGCAGUGAGGAAUAUUGGGCAAUGGGCGCUAGCCUGAACCAGCCAAGUAGCGUGAAGAAUGAAGGCUUAUGGGUCGUAAACUUCUUUUAUAUAAGAAUAUGUAUUAUAUGAAUAAGGAUCGGCUAACUCCGUGCCAGCAGCCGCGGUAAUUG